CAAAAGCAAUCUACAGAUUCAAUGCAUUCCCAUCAAAAUUCCAAGAUCUGAAGGUCAUUUUAGAGUUCUUGAUUUUUUAAUUUUCCUUCUUUUUUUGUAAAGUGAAUUAAUAUCUAUAUUUUUAUUAUUUCUUUCCAUUUAAUGGUUUUCUGUUCAGUGUGAUCCUGUUUUUAACAACUUUUAACUUAAGUGUACAGCUGUACAGGCUAUGAGAAGAGAUAUUAGAAAUGCUACUAAUGAAAAAUCGAUUUCGUCUUCAGCUUCAGAACUGGCUGAAGUCAUUUUAAAUGUUGUCUAAUUGUCUUUUUUUUCUUUUUAAUCCUUACUCCUUCCCUGGAUAACCUGUUGACUGACUGAGCUGGCUUGGUUAAUUGGUGACACAAUGUUGGAGCUCCAGUAAGUGGGAUGCAGUGAAGGAUACAGAAGGAAUUGAAGGCAUGCCCAAAGGAAAGUAAAUUAAAUUUGGGCCAGUGGUGAUUAACCUUGCAAAAAAGGGACAAGAUACCUAUCUCCUUCCUGUUCUACCUGAGGCCCAACCAUCAGCAGUGAGCUGAAUGCUGUCUUCCCAUUUGCUCCUCAAUAGCUCCAUCACCUUCCUAUAACCAGAAGGCCGGUCAAUCCUGAGGAAAAUCCAGUUUAGAGCCUCUCAAUCCAGUCUUCUGCCUACCCAGUCCACCUGAAGCACAGAAAACAAAUGUAAGCUGAACUCUGCCUCCAAAGCUCCACCAUCAAGCCUAGAACUCUACCUUUCUUCCCCAGGAGUUCUGCAGUACCACUCAGGCAACAGAUACCAGAGUGAUGGGGCUGCACACGCAUAUCAAAGUUUAUAACCCAGAAAUGCUCCUGUCCAAAGGUACAACAGGGACAAAAAAUGGAGUAGAGACUGAAGGAAAGGCCAUCUGGUGACUGGCCCACUUGGGAAUUCAUCCUGUCUGAUUUCAUCGCCAAGAGGCACUUGCUCACAGGAACGUAGUGUGGCUAUGUGGAUGCUUGGAACCAACCAUCAAGGAAUCCUCAUGGGGGAGCUGGCGGAAGAACCCGAGGUCCUGAGGAGGAUUGCAACCCCAUAGGACGAACAACAUAGGCUGGCCGGACCACCCAGUGCUCCCACGGACUAGACCACCCACCAAGGAACGUACAGGAAGGGAUCCAUGGCUCCAGAUACAUAUGUAGCAGAGGAUGGCCUUGUCAGACAUCAAUGGGACAGGAGGCCCUUGGUCCUGUGGAAGUUGGAUGCCGCAGUAUGGGAGGACACUGUGGGGGUUGGGCAGGAGAGGGAGCGCCCUCAUCUAGGCAAAUGGGAUGGAGCUGAGAGAGGUUGUGGAGCGGGGGGCUUGUAGAAGGGUAACCAGGAAGUGUGAUAUCAUUUGAGAAGUGAACAUAUGGAAUG
rnacentral:sRNA from 1 species